rnacentral:rRNA from 1 species
GUUAACCCCUAGCUUUCGUUCUCUAUUGAAAGUGCUUUACAACCCUCAGGCCUUCUUCACACACGCGGCAUUGCUGGAUCAGGCUUGCGCCCAUUGUCCAAUAUUCCCA